AACGAACGCUGGCGGCGUGCUUAACACAUGCAAGUCGAACGAGAAAGCUUCCUUCGGGAAGUGAGUAGAGUGGCGCACGGGUGAGUAACGCGUAGGUAAUCUACCCUAAUAUUUGGGAUAACAUUGGGAAACUGGUGCUAAUACCGAAUACCCUUCUUUUCUGCCGGGUUAAGGAGGAAAGGUGGCCUCUUCAUGAAAGCUACCGUAUAAGGAUGAGCCUGCGUACCAUUAGCUAGUAGGUGGGGUAAUGGCCCACCUAGGCAACGAUGGUUAGCGGGUCUGGGAGGAUGAUCCGCCACACUGGAACUGGAACACGGACCAG
rnacentral:rRNA from 1 species